rnacentral:rRNA from 1 species
GACCCGUAAUCCGGGUUGCGGACAGUGUCUGGUGGGUAGUUUGACUGGGGCGGUCUCCUCCUAAAGAGUAACGGAGGAGCACGAAGGUUGGCUAAUCCUGGUCGGACAUCAGGAGGUUAGUGCAAUGGCAUAAGCCAGCUUGACUGCGAGCGUGACGGCGCGAGCAGGUGCGAAAGCAGGUCAUAGUGAUCCGGUGGUUCUGAAUGGAAGGGCCAUCGCUCAACGGAUAAAAGGUACUCCGGGGAUAACAGGCUGAUACCGCCCAAGAGUUCAUAUCGACGGCGGUGUUUGGCACCUCGAUGUCGGCUCAUCACAUCCUGGGGCUGAAGUAGGUCCCAAGGGUAUGGCUGUUCGCCAUUUAAAGUGGUACGCGAGCUGGGUUUAGAACGUCGUGAGACAGUUCGGUCCCUAUCUGCCGUGGGCGCUGGAGAACUGAGGGGGGCUGCUCCUAGUACGAGAGGACCGGAGUGGACGCAUCACUGGUGUUCGGGUUGUCAUGCCAAUGGCACUGCCCGGUAGCUAAAUGCGGAAGAGAUAAGUGCUGAAAGCAUCUAAGCACGAAACUUGCCCCGAGAUGAGUUCUCCCUGACCCUUUAAGGGUCCUGAAGGAACGUUGAAGACGACGACGUUGAUAGGCCGGGUGUGUAAGCGCAGCGAUGCGUUGAGCUAACCGGUACUAAUGAACCGUGAGGCUUAACCUUACAACGCCGAAGGUGUUU